rnacentral:rRNA from 1 species
AUUGAACGCUGGCGGCAUGCCUUACACAUGCAAGUCGAACGGCAGCACGGGUGCUUGCACCUGGUGGCGAGUGGCGAACGGGUGAGUAAUAUAUCGGAACGUACCUUAUUGUGGGGGAUAACGCAGCGAAAGCUGUGCUAAUACCGCAUAAUCCCUAAGGGGGAAAGCGGGGGACCGUAAGGCCUCGCGCAAUUAGAGCGGCCGAUACCUGAUUAGCUAGUUGGUGAGGUAAAGGCUCACCAAGGCAACGAUCAGUAGCUGGUCUGAGAGGACGAUAAGCCACACUGGGACUGAGACACGGCCCAGACUCCUACGGGAGGCAGCAGUGGGGAAUUUUGGUCAAUGGGGGCAACCCUGAUCCAGCAAUGCCGCGUGAGUGAAGAAGGCCUUCGGGUUGUAAAGCUCUUUUGUCAGGGAAGAAACAGCAGCUCUAACACAGUUUGCGAAUGACGGUACCUGAAGAAUAAGCACCGGCUAACUACGUGCCAGCAGCCGCCGCAG